AGUGAACGCUGGCGGCGUGCCUAAUACAUGCAAGUCGAACGAAGUGGCGCACGGGUGAGUAAUAUAUAGUUAAUCUGCCCUACACAGAGGAACAACAGUUGGAAACGACUGAUAAUACCUCAUAGUGUAGGAUGAGACUAUAUCGUAUCAGCUAGUUGGUACGGUAAUGGCUUACCAAGGUUAUGACACGUAACUGGUCUUAGAUGAUGAUCAGUCGCAUUGGAACUGAGACACGGGCCAAACUCCUACGGGAGGCAGCAGUAAGUAAUAUUGCGCAAGGGGGGAAACCCUGACGCAGCAACGCCGCGUGGAGGAUGACACUUGUCGGAGCGUAAACUCCUUUUAUCAGGAAAGCGGGACCUGAUGAAUAAGCACCGGCUAACUCCGUGCCAGCAGCCGCGGUAAUUC
rnacentral:rRNA from 1 species